rnacentral:tRNA from 1 species
GUUUUAAUAGUUUAAAUAAAAUAAUGAUCUUGUAAAUCAUAGAUGGUAUAACCUUAAAACU